rnacentral:rRNA from 1 species
GACGAACGCUGGCGGCGUGCUUAACACAUGCAAGUCGAACGGAAAGGCCCUGCUUGCAGGGUACUCGAGUGGCGAACGGGUGAGUAACACGUGGGUGAUCUGCCCUGCACUUCGGGAUAAGCCUGGGAAACUGGGUCUAAUACCGGAUAGGAGCCAUUUUUAGUGUGAUGGUUGGAAAGUUUUUUCGGUGUAGGAUGAGCUCGCGGCCUAUCAGCUUGUUGGUGGGGUAAUGGCCUACCAAGGCGGCGACGGGUAGCCGGCCUGAGAGGGUGGACGGCCACAUUGGGACUGAGAUACGGCCCAGACUCCUACGGGAGGCAGCAGUGGGGAAUAUUGCACAAUGGGCGCAAGCCUGAUGCAGCGACGCCGCGUGGGGGAUGACGGCCUUCGGGUUGUAAACGCCUUUCGCUAGGGACGAAGCUUUCUGUGACGGUACCUAGAUAAGAAGCACCGGCUAACUACGUG